AUGCACCAUCUGGUUGUAGUUGACCAGUUUUAUUCAUGAGGUGUUUCGGGAUGGUAGAAUUUGCUGUCUUCGUCCUGUUCUUGACUAAUUGGUGUAAAAAGCAGCGAAGGUCUAAAUAAAAUCUACAAAAUCUUCAGAAAGUCUUGACAACUACUGACCAAGAUCACUUUGAUGGAUUAAUUCAAAUGUGGGAACAAUUAAUCUGAAAAGUGUUGAGCUAGCUGAGAACACUUUGAUCUCCCAGUUUUCCUGAACUCGCGGAGCUGUUAGCAACAGAUGCUAAUGAGGCUAAUGUUAGCCCAGCAACACGCUGCUGCCGUCGGCGUUUAAUUAUCGCCAGCUUGUCUCAUUGCUUCCUAACGACGGAGGCUGGUUGACCAAAGUGAAACCUGUGGGGAUUUUGCUGCUGGUUGUUCUGGAGGAUGUGGAUCCUGAAGAGGUUUUCUGGACUUCAGCGACUGGUCAGCGGUCAUGGACUUGGAUCGGAGCGUCAGCGAGGUGCUGGGGGCCCGCUUUGGAGGAGGUGGAGCUACAAGGUUGCUUUCCGAUUUUCUGGAAACUGAGACGACUUUCAUCAGCAGCCGGCUUCCUCCCUGUCGGAUCAGAGAGACGACCUGCCGGUGACCCACCUUCACCACAUCGGUCCCGUUCACCUGGAGAGGGAACAGACAGUUAAUCUAACAGAUAAUGAAGACAUCUGCUGACUGUCACCUCAAUGAGGAAGUCUCCUGUUCUUAGCCCCGCCCUCCAAGCCACGCCUCCUUGAUCCACUGACUCCAGGUACUGCAGAGCAGGAAACGCCGGUGUGGGAGCGAACUCCUCGAUGGGCGUCUCAGCUGGAAACACAGUUGACAGAUUGUUCCCUGUGAUUGGAUCACUUCUUUCAGAACCAGAUGACCCGCUUCAGGAGGAGCUGGUUCUGCCGUUUGAAAAAGGAAAACAGCUAAAACAUCCAGAAGAGAGAGAACAUGGAGAAUUUAUUGCAUUUAUAUGAACCAUCUCCUGGAUGUUUAGUUUAACAAGUUUGAAAAAAUAUUUCUGUAUAAAGACUUUAAUAUUUGAUACUAUAAUUUUAUGUGACUGUCCUUAAAAUCUCUCACCCUUCUUUAUUCCUGUGAGGCAAGAUUUUAUUCUUAGUAAAAUAAAUAAUAAAAGAUACAUAAAUAAAUGCUAAAUAAAUAUAUAUAAAUAUUA